CCCAGACAGCCAGGAUGUUGGCUUAGAAGCAGCCAUCAUUUAAAGAAAGCGUAAUAGCUCACUGGUCGAGUCGGCCUGCGCGGAAGAUGUAACGGGGCUAAACCAUGCACCGAAGCUGCGGCAGCGACACUCAGGUGUUGUUGGGUAGGGGAGCGUUCUGUAAGCCUGUGAAGGUGUGUCGUGAGGCAUGCUGGAGGUAUCAGAAGUGCGAAUGCUGACAUAAGUAACGAUAAAGCGGGUGAAAAGCCCGCUCGCCGGAAGACCAAGGGUUCCUGUCCAACGUUAAUCGGGGCAGGGUGAGUCGACCCCUAAGGCGAGGCCGAAAGGCGUAGUCGAUGGGAAACGGGUUAAUAUUCCCGUACUUGGUGUUACUGCGAAGGGGGGACGGAGAAGGCUAUGUUGGCCGGGCGACGGUUGUCCCGGUUUAAGCGUGUAGGUGUGUGUUCCAGGUAAAUCCGGUUCACUUUAACACUGAGGCGUGACGACGAGGCACUACGGUGCUGAAGCAACAAAUGCCCUGCUUCCAGGAAAAGCCUCUAAGCAUCAGGUAACAUCAAAUCGUACCCCAAACCGACACAGGUGGUCAGGUAGAGAAUACCAAGGCGCUUGA
rnacentral:rRNA from 1 species